rnacentral:rRNA from 1 species
AGGGUUUGAUCCUGGCUCAGAUUGAACGCUGGCGGCAGGCCUAACACAUGCAAGUCGAGCGGAAACACAAGGGAGCUUGCUCCUGAGGUGUCGAGCGGCGGACGGGUGAGUAAUGCUUGGGAAACUGCCCAGUCGUGGGGGACAACCAUUGGAAACGAUGGCUAAUACCGCAUACGCCCUACGGGGGAAAGAAGGGGACUCUUCGGAGCCUUUCGCGAUUGGAUGUGCCCAAGUGGGACUAGCUAGUUGGUGAGGUAAGAGCUCACCAAGGCGACGAUCCCUAGCUGGUUUGAGAGGAUGAUCAGCCACACUGGAACUGAGACACGGUCCAGACUCCUACGGGAGGCAGCAGUGGGGAAUAUUGCACAAUGGAGGAAACUCUGAUGCAGCCAUGCCGCGUGUAUGAAGAAGGCCUUCGGGUUGUAAAGUACUUUCAGCGAGGAGGAAAGGUUAGUAGUUAAUAACUGCUAGCUGUGACGUUACUCGCAGAAGAAGGACCGGCUAACUCCGUGCCAGCAGCCGCGGUAAUACGGAGGGUCCGAGCGUUAAUCGGAAUUACUGGGCGUAAAGCGUACGCAGGCGGUUUGUUAAGCGAGAUGUGAAAGCCCCGGGCUCAACCUGGGAACUGCAUUUCGAACUGACAAACUAGAGUUUUGUAGAGGGUGGUAGAAUUUCAGGUGUAGCGGUGAAAUGCGUAGAGAUCUGAAGGAAUACCAGUGGCGAAGGCGGCCACCUGGACAAUAACUGACGCUCAUGUACGAAAGCGUGGGGAGCAAACGGGAUUAGAUACCCCGGUAGUCCACGCCGUAAACGAUGUCAACUAGCCGACUGGUCCCUUGAGGACUGGGUGGCGCA